ACGUUAAAACACGGGUUCCCAUACGAUCACCGAACUUAAGCAACGUUCUGCCUGGUCAGUACCUAGAUGGGUGACCGCUUGGGAAUGCGAUGUGCUGCAAG
rnacentral:rRNA from 1 species